UGUGAUAACCUUCUCCUUGUGCGCUUCAGGAUGGGAGAUCAAUAUAUUGAUGUUUUCUCUGGUAAAUGUGAAGUUCCGGUCUAUCCAAAAAGCGACUAAUGUCUAGCAAUCUGCAGCAAGAACUUUAUCCACUCAUCUGGUCCAACUUACACCCAUGGAAUUCUCCAUCCACACCUCUCUCUUCGUGAAAGCAAUUGCUAGAUUUGUAUGCAUUGCAGCAGUCAGCCAGAGGCUUCUAGUUUUUCCUCCAUCUGAAGCCUAGCGCUUAGAGAUCUUGUCCUCUGCAUUACCUGUGGGAAAGUUAAAACCAAGCAAGAUGUCCUUUGAUAUGCACGAGUGACCUUUGGUGCCAUGGGAAGAAAUGUUAUGCCAAGAAGAUUUCGGAGAUGUUAUUGACCUUUGGUUCUGUACCAUCCUUUGGCAUGUAUAGAAUUGUUUCUGAUAACUACUGUAGGUCCAACCUGGAAGCUGCAGAACUUUUGCAUCAUGUGCAGCAAGAAGGACAUGUACCCCACUUUGAGACGCAAUGGUCUGUGAUAAGCAAUUUAUAAGCAGUACUAAUAGGAAGACUGAAGGACAUGAACAAUCUCUAUUUCCAAUCAUGUGCAUGGAUCUCAAGCAAUAAAAUUGGGUGGUGGAGAUAGGGUACAAUGGUUGUUGGAGGGGCCCCUGAUGUGUGGCGGUUGGAGUUGACAAAGAUCUGGCCUCCUCGUCACCAGGCGACAGUCUAGAUGUUGCAGAUGACCUUCCAUCACACUUUAGUUUGACCUGAAACUGCCUCAGGGGCAGCCACCAGUGCAUUUUCACAGACCUUCUCUCCACUAAUUGCAUACGGUUGUUAAGGAGGCCAAAAAGUACAUAUUCCACCUUUUCUACCCAUAUUUUUAAUAGCCAGUUGUUCGACCCACGCUUUAUA